CGAGCACGCGCGUGUAGCAUAUCAAUAAGCGGAGGAAAAGAAACUAACAAGGAUUCCCUAGUAACGGCGAGCGAAGCGGGAAGAGCUCAAAUUUGAAAUCUUAAAGGUUUUCCCUUGACGAAUUGUAGUUUAAAGAAGUGUUUUCUGUUGAGGUUUUGGUAAAAGUUCUUUGGAAUAGGACAUCAUAGAGGGUGAGAAUCCCGUAUUUGACCUUUACUUUCAACUUUGUGAUACACUUUCAAAGAGUCGGAUUGUUUGGGAAUGCAGUCCAAAAUGGGUGGUAAAUUUCAUCUAAAGCUAAAUAUUGGCGAGAGACCGAUAGCGAACAAGUACCGUGAGGGAAAGAUGAAAAGAACUUUGAAGAGAGAGUUAAACAGUACGUGAAAUUGUCAAAAGGGAAGCGUUUGACACCAGUGUUGUUUUCUCGAAAAUCAAUUAAAAAUGCUCGGAUUUUGUAUUGCUAUGACCUUUAUAAGCUUCCUGUACAUUUUUUCUUAUCUUUUUUAAUGCACUUUUCGCUUAACAAGUCAACAUCAAUUUCUUUUGUUGUAAAAGAGUCAUUGGAAGGUGGCUUUCAUUUUCGGUAGAAAGUGUUUAUAGCCUUGUACCUUCUGCAAUCGGAGAGAUUGAGGUCUGCAGCGUAGAUCCUUCGGGGUUAGAUACAUUAGAUGCUAAGUUAUAGCUUUUUAUAGACAACUUGUUGACUAUGAUUAGUCAUGUAGCUUACUCGUUAUGCCUAUUUUACCUACGCUUAGGAUGUUGACGAUCAGCUGAGCGCG
rnacentral:rRNA from 1 species